GACGAACGCUGGCGGCGUGCCUAAUACAUGCAAGUCGAACGCACUCUCGUUUAGAUUGAAGGAGCUUGCUCCUGAUUGAUAAACAUUUGAGUGAGUGGCGGACGGGUGAGUAACACGUGGGUAACCUGCCCUAAAGUGGGGGUUAACAUUUGGAAACAGAUGCUAAUACCGCAUAAAACCUAACACCGCAUGGUGUAGGGUUGAAAGAUGGUUUCGGCUAUCACUUUAGGAUGGACCCGCGGUGCAUUAGUUAGUUGGUGAGGUAAAGGCUCACCAAGACCGUGAUGCAUAGCCGACCUGAGAGGGUAAUCGGCCACACUUGGGACUGAGACACGGCCCAGACUCCUACGGGAGCAGCAGUAGGGAAUCUUCCACAAUGGACGAAAGUCUGAUGGAGCAACGCCGCGUGAGUGAAGAAGGUUUUCGGAUCGUAAAACUCUGUUGUUGGAGAAGAAUGUAUCUGAUAGUAACUGAUC
rnacentral:rRNA from 1 species